AUCACCUGGGAAUCUUGCUAAACUGCAGAUUCUGAUUAGUAGGUCUAGAGCCUGUGAUUCUGCAUUUCUAACAAGCUCCCAGGUGAAGCCAG
rnacentral:pre_miRNA from 1 species